GGCCUCGAAGCUGAGUUGGCUAGAGCGUUGGCUGAACUAAAGCCUUCCCCUUGCUGGCGUGGGUUCGAUUCCCACCGAGGCCG
rfam:Schistocephalus solidus strain NST_G2 genome assembly, scaffold: SSLN_contig0003732